GUGCUGAAAUGCUGACUGGAGAGCAGCAGGAGAGUGAUUGUCUUUCACUCAGUAUUUCUGAGCCUUUCAAACACCAACUAUAACUUAAAAUUGGGCAAAAUUUAUUGAACACUGAGCAAGUCAAACCCAAGAUAAUCAAUAUGUUUUCUUCAUAUCAACAACAGCUAGAACGAAGGCGUACUCGCAGGUACUAAUCACACCGCUCUGCAGUCUCCAGCUGCUCUACAGAGUCUACGAGUGUACUCGGAAUUUUGUUUGAAGUGUCAGAAGAGGUAGAAAACGGCCUGCAUAUUUCCCCUGAUUUAAAGUUAGACUCACAAACCAAAACUUCUACGAUGAUAAGCUAAUGCAGCAAUGUGACUGUUGAAUUUCGAGUUGAUUCUGGUGCCUCCUGUGUAGCUUUGAGUCUGGUUUCUUAGCUGUGUAGCUUUGAGUCUGGGUUUCAAGGAGAUUAGUUUCUGGAGUCCUGAAAGUGAAACAGUACGUUUUAUCGAUUAUAAGCAGCUCUGUGAAGAUCACUUCAUCUGUCUUCCAAAGAUAUGUGAUACAGUGGACCACAAACCUUUAAAACAAAGACUGUGAAAGAGCAAGACUGUCCAAACAAACGGCAAACUGAUCUGAAAACUACCUUACAAACAGAUCUACGUGUGUGCAAGCUAUUUAAGGAGUGCCUCAGGGUUCUGUCCUUAGACCUCUUUCUUUUCAAUAGAGAUGUAUCAAUCAAUUUUUUCCGAUCAAAUGCGAUACCGAUACCUGGGCUGGGAGUAUCAGCUGAUAUCUGAUACCGAUCCAAUUCUACUGUGGAAUAAAUGAACUGUAUACCUUGCCUUGUGAGUAAACAAAAGGUAACAAAAUAACGGAUAUUAACUUAAUAUUAUUUAUUAAAAACAACAAACUGCACAGUCAGACUUCUGUGUAUUAAAAGAAAAAAGAAUUAAAAGAAAAAAAAGACUGGAUCGGCAUCAUUCCUCCGAUAUUCUAUCCAGUUAAUUUGCCAAUAUCGGAGCCGAUUUCCGAUCCAAAUAUCAGAUUGUUGCAUCUCUACUUUUCAUUCAAUAAUGAAACAAUAUAAAUCAAAAUGUCACAAAUGCAAAUUGUCCUUUUAUGCUGCCGACACGAUGAUGCACUGCCACACCGACACAAACUGUCUUCCAGUCACAAACUGCUUUCAACACUGUUUAACUUCUUUUUUUUAUUAUUUAUAACAAAAGCAAAACAAAAGUCAUGCUGUUUGUUCAGAAAAGAAAAAGAUGACUUUUCUUUUUCUGAUUUAAUAAAGAUUAAAUAAAAAAAAAUAAUGAUAAUUUUGUAAACUCCUGCCUUAAAUUUGGAUGUGGAUGUCUGCUAAAUUAUGCAACAGCUAACAGAUUGGGUUUUAGAAGUGAUUUUGAGCCCAUGUGGUGAGUUCCACUUCAGAGCCAUGUCUUUUAGUCAAUGCAGUACUUCCUAUGGGCCUAAAAAAACCCACAGUAACCCAGUACUACUUUUCUUUUUCUAUGUUUCUUUAACUCUGAGAAUGUUAUCCUGACAUUGUUGGAUUGUAAGCUCACGCAGUCUCUCACAGAUCAUUGAACCUCUUAAAAUCUUCACCCUCUUUGUUGCCUUUUUAUACCCCGUCAUGUUAUUAAUCUGUUGAAAAUUAACUAAACUGGAUAAGAGGUGUUUUGUAGGAUUUUGUUGACCUUGUUUAGACUUUUUAAAAUGUGAUGCUGCCAUCAAACUUUAAACCUGACUUUUCAGUUUCAUUAUCUUCAAUCUAUUUCUAUUUGCAAACCAUCAAAUUCUGUUUCAUCCCAAUUGUUUUACAAUUAGUGUUACAACUUCUAUAUGUCAUUGUGUCUCUCUACUGCCCCCAUAUGGCUAAAUGUUAUUUCUAGGAGUUUCAAAGCUUAAGUUCAUAUAGCUUGUGAGGUAUACAUUCAAGAACUUCUUAUCAGGAACAGGAGCGAUAACUCAGAGAGGAAAUAAGUUGUUGUUGUUACACACUGUACGAAACUUUCAUCCAUUUCAUUUUCUUCCAUCCUCAUUUUUGUGAGAGCACACACUCUCCCGAACAGGCCGGUCCGUUCUGUACUCGAGUUGAAAGGAGCAAGGGUAUUUUUUUCCUCUUGACCCGAUGAUUAAAUGGCUCCUCAUAUGUUAUUUCAAUUGGGCUGCAGCCAAUUCAUCUGUUUGACAGAAAGUUGUGCAUAUUCCAUAUCAGGAAAGUUAUUAAUCCUGGUGUCAUGCUUUUAGAUUAGGGUCAGCAGAAUUGAUUUCUUCUGUGCAGGUUAGAAAGAGAAACAAGAAACGAGGAAAGCGAGCGGCCAGGGGGGAAGAUGAAAGCUCUCCAGCAAUAAUUUCUCCUGGUCACAUAUGUGGGAUAUUCAUACAUAUACAUAUAUUCAUAUACAUGCAUAAAUGCAUAUACUGUAUGAAUAAAUGCAAUGAGGUCAUCGCUCACUACAUGAAAAACAAUUAUUGGUCCUUUUUAGUGUUCUGCCUGGUGUGGAGUCAAUCUGCAGAGUCCUAUCAAAGAAACACUCUUUGAACUAAAAGGCCGCGUCAGCACAAGCUCUAAUUUCCACGACUACUUUAGAUAUAUGGUCUUUAUCCGCCAUAUGAAUGAUGAUAUCAGCUCAGUGCAUACUCGUGUUUGCCUUUAUUCUGUUUACACUGAAGAGGUUUCGUGCUCAAGUGGCGUCACUUUGUUGGUUUUAAAGCGAGCAGUCUGGAGUAAAAGAAGUCAUCAUGUAACGGCCUCAUUUUAGUGUUUCAAAACCAGUCGGGAUCGGGGGCUGAGUACCCCUCUGAGAACAGUGGGGUAUGUAAAGUGCUGUGUCUAGACUUUUCUGAUCGGAGUUGGUGUGAGAGGGGGCACACAAGCUACAGGUGUGGGGACAUAAACAAAAGACAAUGUAUAAUUGUGGGGUGGCCAAUCAAGCGGGCCCAGACCACCCCUGGCGAAUUCUAUGGGUGCACCCCUGGGAGUGUAGAAAACUGUCAUUUUAACUGUGUACACGGUUUUCACACAUUUUACAUAGAUUUCACUUCGUAGCUUGCAGAUUGAAACACUUUUCUAUAUUUAAAUUAGUAUGUAUAUAUUUCAUUUUCUUUAUAUUUUGUAUAAUAGUAAAUUUUUAAAGUUUACAAUUCAAUUCCAAUACUGUAUAUCUACGAAAGAGGUUUAGGGCCACAAGACGAGGAAAGAAAAAAAUAAUUACAGGAAGGAGAUUUUUUAAUUUCCAUUUCCAGAAUAAAGUCGAAAUUUGACUUUAUUUAUGUUAAAAUUUUGACUUUAAUCUCUCUUUUUUUUUAAUCUCAAAGUUUCAAAAUUAUUCACGACAUUUCAACAUUUUGUAAUCUCGAAAUUUCGAUUUUAAGCUCGGUAUUUUAAUUUUUAACGUCGAAUUUUUGACUUAAUUGGAAUAAUUUCGAUUAUUUAAUUUAUUUGACUUAAAUCUCGAAACUUCGCCGUUAAUAUCUUUUCUGUAAUUUUAAUUUUCCCGUAAUGUGGCCCUGAUCUUCUUUCGUAGUAUAUCACAGGUAGUUAUCGAAAAAAUGGAUGUUUCGAUUCAAUAGAUGCUUCACAGACUGAUGUCAAACUUGAUAUGGAAUGGAAACACAUUAUUUCCAUAUCAAACUACCAUUACUAUUUUUGUCUAGCUAGGAGACAAAGUGCGCUAACUUUAACAGCAGCUCAGUUUUUUUAACCUAUGAAAGAAUACUGGAUGCUAUGAUCGCUAGAUUGCUUUUAUUCGUUAGCUUGGAAGCACUAGAUUCAUGUCCGCUAGCACCAAAUUCUAAAUGUUUACCGUAAUUUUUAAUGUCUGAAAUCAGCAUGAGGGAGAUAGGUAGCAGCUGGAGAAAAGUCUUCUACAUAAAUAUCAACCAAAAGUGAUAUAUUUGAUGGUCAAAAAAACUACUCUAGUAUGUAGAUAACAAGAGAAGGAAAGCCUGCUUUGUCCACCGGGGGGCGCCAAAGUAGUUUCAAAUCAAAAGUUCCUGACAGGAGCUUUAAUUUGUCUUGUAAAAAGUGAAAUUUCAACACUGGUGUCAAUAAGGUCUUCCUAGCUUUUUCAGUCAACCUCAAAUGAUGCUUCUUGGGUAUGAAAUACAUGCAGUGAAAUGAAACGCUUCCUCACUCUGAGAUAAUUACAGACAUUUCCCAUAACUGUGAACUUGUAGAAAUCUUCGGCACAACAAGAAAUUCCAGAAUUACUGUUAUUAACACUCCUUUUCCAUGCUUUGUAAACACAACACAACUCAGACCCUCUUUGUGUUGACCGUGACAAAUGUAAUUGUCAUAUCAGUCUCAUUUCAGCCCGGAUCAACAGCUGCACACACCUCAGUCCGUACAAUGGCAGUGUAAAAGGAUGGGUACUGUAUAUCAGCCUCUAAAUAGAGCUGGAAUGAGAUCGCAGUGUGAUGACACGGCGGCUAAUCAGGGCCAGCAGUUUAGGAGGGAUGUAACAUGUGGUCCUGUGGUCGUUUUCCUCCAGGACGACUUAUCGAUCAACGCAGAACGUGCACCUGAUUAAACCAGACAAGAGGCGUUCACUCCUCUACGUGACAGAAAGCCACAGCCGCAGCCGCGCUCGCCUUUGUUUCAAUCCCAGUCUUUGCUCUGCUAAUGGAUUUACCUAUUAGUCGUGGAGAAGGUCAUUACACGAAUUAGCUUUUUUUUUCACCCCCCUCCUCUUUCGCCUGUGGUAAAAUGAGCCUACAAGAAUUACACCUGUGAGACUCGUGUGAGCACAAAAGGCAGCGUGAGCCGCCCUGUAACAAGGAGUUGAGUGGCAGCGGCGCAGACAGUUGUGAAAAUUGAGUGUAAUUGUUUUAAAAUUGCCAUUGGAAUGAUUCAUAGCUUCAGUAGUAAUUGUGACUCCUUCCCUGAAGUCUCGGUGAAAAGAUCUCUAUGUCUCUAAGCAGUGCGAGAAUGUGUAAUUGUGGGUUUUUAUCCUCGGAGAAGGUUGUUGAUUCUGUGUUUGUCGUCGGUUUUGUCUGCGUGACACUGCAAACUAAAUGAAAGAGGACACGAAAUUGAAAACUUUGUAGAGCCAUUAAGCCGCACCUCUCAGAAGGCCAGUUAUAUUAUUGGGACUGGAGCAGUAUCAGCAUAUGAAAAAUAUAUUACAUUUGCCUUUUAUUGAAUUUUCAAGGCAGCUGAGCUCUGUUUUGCCAAAAUUCUCCCACGGUGAAUGAUUCAGUUAGGGGUGCGGAUCGUCUUACUGGCUGGCUGCCUCGCUAUCAGGCUGCAGUUUUUAUUCAGGUAUGUAAAAAAAAAAAAAAGCCCUCUGGCUGAAGUAUAUUUUAAAAAAGAUUCCUCUCCUUGUGUUCAAUUUGGUUUCUCCGGUGAGGGAACGGAGGAGAAAGAAGACGAAGGAGGUGCGGUGGGAAUGAGGAAGCAGAGGGAGGUUUUAAGGAGUAGACAAAUGGCGAUGAGGAAUGUGCCGUUGAGCUCGCUGCUCAGCUAAUGGAUCAUGUGCUCUUCCCCCGGAGUGGUCGGCCUCGCCUCUUACUGACCGUGGUGCCGCUGCUCUGUAAUUACCUGCAGGGGAAGGAAAGGCUCUAAAGGGAGGGGGCAGGAAAAUAGCAGAUAGAGAGGAUGUGGGUAAAGAGUGACAGGAUGGAGGAGCACUUGUCGAGCCAUCUAACCUGCAGAAGGAUUCUCCACGAGUUCAUAAAUGGCCCGAGCCGCAUGAUGUGGGUUUAUUUAUAGGAAAAGUGGAGGGGAGUUACACUUCAAGGGCUCUACCUCCUUUUUUUUUGCUCUUAAAUCACAACUUCUGACUCCAUAACCCAAAUCUCGUGUGUGUUUUGUGAUGGCUUAUGAUGAUUUAUAGAGAGUAGAUUUACUCCAGCCUCGCUUACGGUUCCAUCAGACUCUGACGCAUCAAAAAAUGUAUUCUAUAUCAUUUUUAUGUACAUAUGCUCACAUAUAUACACCGCCAAUCCCCUGCUUCCUUCGAGUCUCCCUAGGAGACCUCACCAUCGUCCCUCAAAUGCUGGGGUUGCAUGGUAGACUGGAAUUACGAUACUGUUUCAAUACUUGUGGUACAAAAGUUGAAUUUCCCAAAGUUCUACUUUAUGAUGAAAAAAAGAAUUCAGUUUGGCUCUGAUGUAUAAAAUAUGAGUGAUAUAAUAUCAUUACCUGCAGUUGCACCAGUCAAUCAUUUACAUUUAUAUGUUAGCCUCAGCCUCCUUUAAGAGAGGGAAAAGCAAUGCCUCUGCCUCAACAUGUCCACCACCAACCUCAGUGAGUCAUCUUCACAACCUGUGCUGGUGAACAGAGCCAUCUGCUGGAUUCUUUUGAGGGACUACUUAGCCCACGGACUGGACUCGGAUGGCAAACCCACAGACUUUUGAAAAGCUGUGUAAAAAAGACGCCACAGGGUAACUAUAGUGACGGACUUCACCAUCAGGUACAAAACACGGCAGAUUAGUGAGCAGGAAAGCAAACCUAAUGGUCGAACAGUACACUGUAAACUAAGGAUUUCCCGAUCUGAUAUUGAUAUCAGAUAUCAGCAAAAACACAAAUAUCAGAUUCUAUCGGCAUGUAUCUAAAAUCUCC